UCUCCUCAGCUGCCUUAAAGGUAAAGCUACCCCAUGACAAUAUGGCAAAAGGAAUACACUUCCUUCUCCCUCACUGAAAUAUGUGGGAAUACUACCACAGCUUGAGAAGCAUCUGCAUUGAGAUUUGUAGCUUUACUCUUGUUCUGUGUGUGUUGGAAAGAAGGAGCAGUGGAUAGGCAAUGAGCUGUGGUGCCUGCUUGCCGUGUUUGUCACAGCAGGUCUGAGGCACAGCUGUGUCUGCAGCCCUUGCAGGGGGAGGCUGGCUGAUCAGGGUCUGUUCUGCAGCUGGAAGUGAAAGCCCACAAGAGGUUUCUUCUCUCUGCUCAGUUCCUGUAUUUAUUCAUCAAGGAAAUCCACAAUUUAGCCAGUAAUAUGCAGCAGUUUUCAAAUCUGUGGAUGACUCAUGGAUCACUCUUCCUUGUGGCCUACAAUAUCACUUUGCUAUGCUCUUUCCAGUUAAGUUGGAAAAGAGAAUCUUUAAGACUUUAUUCCUGAAUUCUGCCAACAGAGCAAUCUCCAACUGUUAGGUGUGUUGAAAAAUCAAACCUGAAUACAAUGCCAAGAGCAGAAACUUGUGUGGAAUGUCAUUAUAUGAGAAAUAAAUAAUACUUUAAGGUUUGCCUAGUGCUUUGAAAUAAGAAAUACCCACUUCACUUACAAAAAAACUUGCUAUAAUUUGUAUACAAGGUACAUAUUAAGUGAAGCCGGGGCUUUUUUGGAUGUAUUUGUAUUAAGAUUGGUGUGUUGACAUCUCUGUAAAACAUCCAUCAAGGUGUUUUCUGUAUGGGGUUUGAGAAAUCAGUCAUCAGCCUGGUCUAACCAUGAGUGCUCCUUCUGAUGAAUUGGGGUCCCUGUCUACCUGCAAAUGCUGCAGAGAAGAACACAGGAGCAAUGGUGAGAACAGGGGGAAGCAGCAAUCCCAACCCUUUGUCUGUGUAUACGUGAACAACCUGUAUACUUAAUAAAAUCUUUGCUGUGCCCUGGGGCAGCUGGUUGCUAAAUUGUAAUCAUCAGGUACAAUAUGAUGAUAAAGCUGUAUGUGCCCUUGAUUUUAUUGCAGAUCUUUACUGUCACACUUGUGUGCUGAUUGAGUGCAUAGUUUUUAUCUCAAGACACAAAAUUUCCCAUGCUUUGCAUAUUUUAUUUGUGAAAACAUACCGUUUUUGGUCCACUGUGAUACUCCACACAUUGAGCUGUGUAUCCUGCUGGUUUAGCUACGCUGCUCAUUAGCAACCAUGAAUGAGUAAACAAGAAUUUCAUCAGCAAUUGAGGGGUGCACAUUACUUCCAUUGCAAUGCUAAUUUUAUUUUGUAAACACAGUGCUUUUUAAAAUUCACUUUUAACACAGAAUAUUCUUUCAGAGCUUACGUUGGAUCAGGAAGAUUACAUUUAAAAACAAGUAAUGAAAUUUAAGAGGAUAUAUUUGUGCUAUCCUAAGUUUGAAUAAAGCAAUUAAUCAGUCAUUACUGAAUAUCUUGCUACUUUCUUGUAGUUUUUGUGUAAAUUGGUCUUUACUGGAGUAAAUGCACACUGCUAAAUAUUUGUGUGUUAUCAAUUAAUACAGUUCUUUUCUUUCACUGAAAUUAGUUAUUCCUGGAACCAGGCUUAGGCAUUAUUGCCUUACUGAACUUGUAACAACACUGCAUUUUGACUGCUUCCAUUGAGUUUAAAUAUAUGUUUCUAGUCUAUGUCAAAAUCUUAAUUUCAUUGUUCAGAUUUUAAUCUGUUUUUUUUUAAAGUAACUGCAGUUCAGCAUAACUUUUCAAUAAAUAGCCUUACAGUUUCUUCUUCCAAAGGUUCCUAUUCCAUAGUGGAUUUCAUCUUUGUUGGCCAGCUAAGAUUCAAAUGUGAAAAAUGAAACAAAAUUGUGAAAAGAAGCUGAACUUGGGUAUCAGAAAUUUGUUCCUUGUCAAGCUUUCAGUUUUACUGAACCCUUUGCCCAAUUAAUUGUUUCAGUAUCUGAGGCAUCUCUAGAUCAAGAGUGAAGCAGCUCUAAUUCUCUCCUUGUUAACAAUAAAAUGUUUUAUCUUGACUCAAAGUAAA